UACGGAGGAUGCAAGCGUUAUCCGGAUUGAUUGGGCGUAAAGCGUCUGUAGGUGGUUACGCUAGUCAGCUGUUAAAGAUCAGGGCUGAACCCUGAGCAAGCAGUCGAAACUGCGUGGCUGGAGUACGGUAGGGGCAGAGGGAAUUCCCGGUGUAGCGGUGAAAUGCGUAGAUAUCGGGAAGAACACCAAAGGCGAAAGCGCUCUGCUGGGCCGAAACUGACACUGAGAGACGAAAGCUAGGGGAGCGAAUGGG
rnacentral:rRNA from 1 species